GUAAGAGCUUUGUUCGACAGUGGUAGUUCGGAAAAUUAUCUUCACCCAAGGCUAAAUUGCUUAGUCCCAACGUUCGUCCGACAAUGAAUGCCAUUGCCAUGGCAUCGUCUAAAUGUUUAGUUAGAAAACUUUGGAUGUAGUGAAAUGGAUUUAUACUACAACAAUCAUAAAUAUUGCGGAGUUGAAUUUGGUGUUAUGGACAGCUAAUGCGCUGAUAUGAUCCUGGGACUCAAUUUCCUGCAUGAAAGUGCAUGUUUGUAAUCGGUUUAAUCUUCACGAUGAGAUCUGGGAGUUAGUUCCUCGACAUAUUCGACGGAUACUCAACUACAUUUGGACUUGUUUCUGUCGCACUCUUCGAAACAAUUGCAGUUGCUUAGGUCUUCAAAUUCAAAUUAGAGAACUUCGAAAAUGACACAAAGAGAAUGAUUCAUUCAAAACCUGAAUUGUAUUGGAAAAUAUCAUGAAAAUAUACCUGACCAAUUAUUAUGGUCAUUAUCCUGAUUGCAAGCUUCGUGGACAUGUCCCUCAACCCUUCGAGUUACUACGCUUUGAACAAAGACACCGGCUUGAAAGACAAGUUAACUUAUCCGGCAUAGGCCGUGCUUAUUAUUGUAUUAUUGAUACUAAGCUCGAUGUUCUGUUUUCGUUAUUCGCGGGUCUCGUAUGUUUCGGAAUUUUCGACCCGAAAUGGAUCGGAUGCGAAUUCUACGGGAGAAAUAAAAGAGCUGAACAGAAUGACAAUGAUGAAAUCUGAGUUCAAAAUAUGCGACUCCGUUGAAUUUGAAUUCUACGAACAAAGUUUGAUUUUUGAUAUUUAUUAUCCACUAGGUGACAUAUUUUUGUGAAGUGUCAUCUCAAUCGAAAAUAUGUUAAAACCGUUUUAGGAUCCGAUCUGAAUGGCGCUGCUUAAUUAUUAGUUUUCAUGACGCUAAAUAAUUGUAUCUUUGGUAUGAUUACUGUAUUAUAGUCUGGAAUCAGUGAAGCGUAAAAUAGCGGCAUCUGCUCUUCUCUACUCCAAUAACAUUAUUUUGGCCAUGCAUUCACACAUCAUUGUUUUUUUGUGAGAUAAAGUUUGAUAAUGAAUGCUUAUAUCUUUAUAUUGAAUUAUGUGAAGUGUUAUGAAGCAUUUUCAUCUUCCUCAAUUAGUUCUGCUUAGUGAUGGAAACAUAGUAUUAUUUAUUGAAAUCCAUUUUAGUUUUCAAUAAAAUAAAAUCAUGUGUGUUUUUGGUGUGCCAAA